GGGGAUUUAGCUCAGUGGUAGAGCGCUUGCCUAGCAAGCACAAGGACCUCGGUUCAGUCCCCA
rnacentral:tRNA from 1 species